rnacentral:rRNA from 1 species
GGCGAGCGGCGAACGGCUGAGUAACAUGUUGGUACUCACCCCAUACUCAGGAAUAAGCCUUGGAAACGAGGUCUAAUGCCGGAUGACCCAGUAAUGGGAAAGAUUUAUCGGUAUGGGAGAGGCCUGCAUCGUAUCAUGUUUGUUGGUGAGGUGAUAGCUCACCAAUGCUAUGACGCGUACCUGGUGUGAGAGCACGACCAGGCAGAGUGGGACUGAGACACGGCCCACACUCCUACGGGAGGCAGCAGUGAGGAAUUUUCCGCAAUGGACGAAAGUCUGACGGAGCAAUCCCGCGUGGAGGAUGACACCUUUCGGGGCGUAAACUCCUCUUCUGAAGGAAGAAAUUCUGACGGUACUUCAGGAAUAAAGGGCGGCUAACUACGUGCCAGCAGCCGCGGUAAUACGUAGGCCCUAAGCGUUAUCCGGAAUCACUGGGCGUAAAGCGAUCGGAGGUGGACUUGUAAGUGAGGUGUUAAAUACCUGCGGCUCAACCGAGGUGCUGCACUUCAAACUACAGGACUAGAGGAAUGCAGAGGAAACUGGAAUUUCUGUUGUAGGGGUUAAAUCCGUUGAUAACAGAAGGAACACCAAAAGCGAAGGCAGGUUUCUGGGCAUUUCCUGACACUGUGCGAUCGAAAGCGUGGGGAGCGAAAGGGAUUAGACACCCCUGUAGUCCACGCCGUAAACGAUGAAUACUCGGUGUAGGAGGGUUCAAUCCCCUUCUGUGCCCAAGCUAACGCAUUAAGUAUUCCGCCUGGGGAGUACGGUCGCAAGACUAAAACUCAAAGGAAUAGACGGGGAUCCACACAAGCGGUGGAGCAUCUGGUUUAAUUCGAUAAUAAGCGAGGAACCUUACCAGGUCUUGACAUCCCGAGAAUCUCAAUGAGAAUUGAGAGUGCCUUUCGAGGAACUCGGUGACAGGUGUUGCAUGGUUGUCGUCAGCUCGUGCCUUGAGGUGUGCGGUUAAGUCCGUGAACGAGCGCAAUCCUCGUCGUACGUUGCAUUUUUCGUGCGAGACUGCCCGUUUUACGCGGGAGGAAGGUGAGGAUGAUGUCAAAUCAGCAUGACCCUUAUGAUCUGGGCGACACAGGUGCUACAAUGGCUGGUACAAAGGGCAGCGAAAUCGCGAGAUGGAGCCAAUCCCAAAAAACCAGUCUCAGUUCGGAUUGGAGUCUGCAACUCGACUCCAUGAAGCUGGAAUCGCUAGUAACCGUAAAUCAGCCAUGUUACGGUGAAUAUGUUCCUGGAUCUUGUACUCACCGCCCGUCAAGUCACGAAAGGUAGGGGUGCCCAAAGUCG